rnacentral:rRNA from 1 species
AAGUAUUAAAUGGCUGCGGUAUAUUGACCGUACAAAGGUAGCAUAAUCAUUAGUUUUUUAAUUGAAAGCUGGAAUGAAAGGUUGCAUGAAAAAAUGACUGUCUCUGUUUAAAUUUAUUUGAAUUUUAUUUUUAAGUAAAAAAGCUUAAAUUUUUCUAAAAGACGAGAAGACCCUAUAGAGUUUUAUAAAUUUGGUAUAAAGAUUUUUUAGUAUUAAAAUUAAUUUAUGCAUAAUUUAUUUGGUUGGGGUGAUUGAAAAAUUAGGUUAACUUUUUUUUAUUUAUUACAUUUAUUUAUGAGUAUUUGAUCCUUAUUUAAAGAUUAAAAGAUAAAAUUACCUUAGGGAUAACAGCGUUAUUUUUUUUGAGAGUUCAAAUCGAAAAAAAAGAUUGC